UGUUUUCUUCCAGUGUAUGUCUUUGGCUCCUUUGUCAAAUAUAAGCUGACUGUUGGUGUGUGGUUUCAUUCCUGGAUCUUCUAUUCUAUUCCAUUGAGUCAGAUCUAUUUUU